UACGAAGGGGGCUAGCGUUGCUCGGAAUCACUGGGCGUAAAGGGCGCGUAGGCGGAUCUUUAAGUCGGGGGUGAAAGCCUGAGGCUCAACCUCAGAAUUGCCCUCGAUACUGGAGAUCUUGAGACCGGAAGAGGUAAGUGGAACUGCGAGUGUAGAGGUGAAAUUCGUAGAUAUUCGCAAGAACACCAGUGGCGAAGGCGGCUUACUGGUCCGGUUCUGACGCUGAGGCGCGAAAGCGUGGGGAGCAAACAGG
rnacentral:rRNA from 1 species